rnacentral:rRNA from 1 species
GUGGUUAUGGAUGGGUCUGCGUGCCAUUAGCUAGUUGGUAGUGUAACGGACUACCAAGGCAGUGAUGGCUAGGGGGUCUGAGAGGAUGAUCCCCCACACUGGGACUGAGACACGGCCCAG